GACGAACGCUGGCGGCGUGCCUAAUACAUGCAAGUAGAACGCCGUUGCGAACGGGUGAGUAACGCGUAGGUAACUGCCUCAUAGCGGGGGAUAACUAUUGGAAACGAUAGCUAAUACCGCAUACUGUGAGAUGGACCUGCGUUGGAUUAGCUAGUUGGUGAGGUAAAGGCUCACCAAGGCGACGAUACAUAGCCGACCUGGGAGGGUGAUCGGCCAACCUGGGACUGGGACCCGGCCCAGAAUCCUACGGGAGGGAGCAGGUGGGGAUUAUUGGCAAAUGAGGGAAGUCCGACCGAGGAACGCCGCGGUAGUGAAGAAGGGUUUCGGAGUGUAAAGCUCUGUUGUGAGGGAAGCGUUAACUAACCAGAAAGGGACGGCUAACUACGUGCCAGCAGCCGCGGUAAUAC
rnacentral:rRNA from 1 species